UACGUAGGGUGCAAGCGUUGUCCGGAAUUAUUGGGCGUAAAGGGCUCGUAGGCGGUCUGUCACGUCGGGAGUGAAAACUCAGGGCUUAACCCUGAGCCUGCUUCCGAUACGGGCAGACUAGAGGUAUGCAGGGGAGAACGGAAUUCCUGGUGUAGCGGUGAAAUGCGCAGAUAUCAGGAGGAACACCGGUGGCGAAGGCGGGUCUCUGGGCCGAUACUGACGCUGAGGAGCGAAAGCGUGGGGAGCAAACAGG
rnacentral:rRNA from 1 species